rnacentral:rRNA from 1 species
AACGCGAAGAACCUUACCAGCCCUUGACAUGGGGAGUAUGGGCCUGAGAGAUCGGGUCCUUCAGUUCGGCUGGCUCCCGCACAGGUGCUGCAUGGCUGUCGUCAGCUCGUGUCGUGAGAUGUUGGGUUAAGUCCCGCAACGAGCGCAACCCUCGUCUUCAGUUGCCAUCACGUUUGGGUGGGCACUCUGAAGAAACUGCCGGUGACAAGCCGGAGGAAGGUGGGGAUGACGUCAAGUCCUCAUGGCCCUUACGGGCUGGGCUACACACGUGCUACAAUGGCGGUGACAGAGGGGAGCGACGGGGCGACCCUGAGCCAAUCCCGAAAAGCCGUCUCAGUUCGGAUUGCACUCUGCAACUCGAGUGCAUGAAGUCGGAAUCGCUAGUAAUCGCGGAUCAGCACGCCGCGGUGAAUACGUUCCCGGGCCUUGUACACACCGUACGUC